GGCGGCGGCGGUACCGAUGUGGUUGUCCUCGAUGUGCUCGAUGAGGUCGGCCAGGCUCGGGAAGUGCAGCCCGCAGCCCCCGAAGCGGCAGGCUUCCGAUCGGAGGGCUCUGGGCCCUUCCUCGUCACCUGUUGGCGCGCCUAACUGUGUCACUGAAGUGCACGGGGACCCCGGGAAGAUCACCCACGGGACUCCUGACUGGAAGUAAGGGCCCCUCCUGUGCACCGAGGACCAGCUUUGCAGUCAGACACCCCUGGGUUACCCCCCCCCCCCCCCCCGCACAUGCCCCGACCUCCAGCAUCACCAGGGAAACUCACCAAUGCUGCUCUGCGGGAGCUCACAGUGAAUCCAGGGGGGGUCAGCUUCCUCCCAGGCAGUUCCCCCCCCCCAUGCUACCCAGAACCUCCUGUGCUCCUCACAACUUCCCAGCCACGAGGAAAGUGCCCUGUAACCCUGAAGUCCUUGCUGUCACCUCCAUUAAACAGAUGGGAAAAUUGAGGGUCCUAGGGGCCAAAGGUGGGUCUCGAGGAGCCAUAGCUAGAAAGGGAUAAAGGGGCACCCGCGGCCCACCCAAGUGCCCCUCCCUCCCCCUCCUGGGUCUGCUCAUUAAGCUGUGUUCACUUGGGGCAGAAGGCAGGAGAGGGGUGACUGAGUGUUUAUAAUCAGGUGCCCCAAGCCCGCCCUCCCCAGGGACGAUGGCUUCGGUGCCUCAAGGAGCUCAGCCAUCAUGUUGACAAAUGGAGCUUCCUCCUGCUUCAGCCCCCGAGAGCGCUUCCUGUUUUUCCGCUCUAAGAGUUGCCCGCCCGACCUGGCACCGGAAUAGCCUGUGGGUCUCACCUUGCUGGCUCCUGCUUAAGUGAGUUGGGGGAGCGCCAGGCCCGGGAAUACCGGGACAGAGUGUUGGGGGGAUGUGCUGCCAUAUGUACAGAUGGGCUAACAAGCCGACCUUAGGACACUAGAUCUUUUACAUAAAGUGCACGGUUUGGAGAGGAUCCUUGAAAGUGCCGAAGGGGUACAAGCAGCAACGUCCUGCUCUCUUGUUAAUAAAACACACUUUCAUGUACGAUCCGCUUGUUUGUUCCAAUAAGUUAAUUAUAAUAAAAGAGAAAAGCUACUGCCCGUUUGGGAGGGAGGCAGAAAAAGCAUCCUUAAGGAUAACUUGGUUUUUAACUUGAGCCAGGAGGCAGAGGAAAGGGCUGCCUGCUUUACAUGGGCACCGGCUCCCAAGGCCGGUUCCAUUUGGGCCUGCACGGUGGCGAUUCCACCUGGUGGGGGGGCUGCCCGUGUGGGGACCCUCCCCUCAGAGUUUCAGGUGCUGCUGGUGAAAAAGUGACUUGUCCAGCAUCUCACAGCAGCAGCUAGAAGGUUGCAGAGGCUCAGGGCUAGGGACCCCCAGUUACUCCUCAAACCCUUCAAUAAAUAUUGUAUAUUAAGUGCA